UACGUAGGGGGCAAGCGUUGUCCGGAUUUAUUGGGCGUAAAGAGCGUGUAGGCGGCCAGGUAGGUCUGCUGUGAAAACUCGAGGCUUAACCUCGAGAUGUCGGCGGAAACCAGCUGGCUAGAGUCCGGAAGAGGAGAGCGGAAUUCCUGGUGUAGCGGUGAAAUGCGCAGAUAUCAGGAAGAACACCCGUGGCUAAGGCGGCUCUCUAGUACGUGACUGACGCUGAGACGCGAAAGCGUGGGGAGCGAACAGG
rnacentral:rRNA from 1 species